rnacentral:pre_miRNA from 1 species
AGAGGAAUAGCUGGGUCAAAUGGUAGUUCCAUUCCCAGAUUUCCAAGGAAUCUCCAUACUGCUUUCCAUAUUGGCUGCACCAAUUUGCAGUCCCACCAACAGU